GUAGAAAUUCAAGUCACUUCCAGCAUUCGCCUGAUGUGCUGGAAGAAAGACCGAAGGGAAAACAAAUAAUAUAAUACACAAAAAGCUCAACCUCCGAGAGUAGACUAAUGUUCUGCGUCAUGCAGCUCAGCAUGUUGAUGGUGAUUGUGGGGAAAAAGCCGUCUUGUCGGUAGGCAGAAGUUGCUGACGAAAUGUUGGUGCUCAUGGACGGGGAAACGCUUAUACUCAAAGAAGGAGUUUCACAAGGCCCUAUAAGAGAGCAUACGGUACAUUUGAAAGAUGGAGGAAGUUUCUGAUAAUGAUAAAAAGUAAAAAUAUGGGAUUCUACCCCGACCGUAGAUUCAGGACAACGCUAACCAUGGAAGGCUAGAGUUGCAGGCCCGCUCUCCUGAAGAUAACCCUAAAUGUUCAAUAAACAGCUUAAUUUCCCGGUCAACAACAAAAAAGGAAAAUUCCGGCUCCAUAACUGACUAUGAGCCCUGCUGAAUAUGGAAAGUUGAUGCAAAAAAGUGUCCAUGAGUAGGGAUCUCAGAUUAUUCAUUAUUGAGACGUUCUAAAUUCGCGUAUGCUAGUCGUACCUGUUUUUUGCUGCGUGUACACGGCAGAAACAUUGAGCAUAGAAAGGCCAAUAGUGCGAAGAUUAUUAUGCAUUUCCUCAGAGUUGUUGUACGUUGUACUGAACUGAACGUUAACCAUGACACCCCCUGUUGGUGUAGGCCUAGGAAAAAAGGACAGAGCAUGUUAAUAUAGUUCGACCCGGGUUGCUUGUAUAAUCUUAUAUAACGGAGAGCAUGUUAACGAGGAAUGGGCAAUAAACUAAUUAUUAUCAU